ACCAUUCGCCGAUCUCCGGUCCUUUAGUAAUCGAAUAAACAGUUGUAAUAUAAAGCACCAAAUUCCACAAGAAAAAACCACGUCAAAAAUCUCGAAAAUUCCGCUCCACGCUAAAAAGUAAUCGAGUACGUGGCAAAAUGACUCACAA